rnacentral:rRNA from 1 species
CAGGAUGAACGCUGGCGGCGUGCUUAACACAUGCAAGUCGAACGGAAAGGCCUGUACUUGUACAGGUACUCGAGUGGCGAACGGGUGAGUAACACGUGGGUGAUCUGCCCUGCACUAUGGGAUAAGCUUGGGGAAACUGGGUCUAAUACCAUAUAGGACCACUUCUUGGAUGUUGUGGUGGAAAGCUUUUGCGGCGUGGGAUGAGCCUGCGGCCUAUCAGCUUGUUGGUGGGGUAAUGGCCUACCAAGGCGGCGACGGGUAUCCGGCCUGAGAGGGUGUACGGACACAUUGGGACUGAGAUACGGCCCAGACUCCUACGGGAGGCAGCAGUGGGGAAUAUUGCACAAUGGGCGCAAGCCUGAUGCAGCGACGCCGCGUGGGGGAUGACGGCCUUCGGGUUGUAAACUCCUUUCGCUAUCGACGAAGCCACCUUGGGUGGUGACGGUAGGUAGAUAAGAAGCACCGGCUAACUACGU